UACAGAGGGGGCAAGCGUUGUUUGGAAUUACUGGGCGUAAAGGGCGCGUAGGCGGCCCGCUAAGUCGAACGUGAAAUCCCCGAGCUCAACUCGGGAACUGCGUCCGAUACUGGCGGGCUUGAAUCCGGGAGAGGGAUGCGGAAUUCCAGGUGUAGCGGUGAAAUGCGUAGAUAUCUGGAGGAACACCGGUGGCGAAGGCGGCAUCCUGGACCGGCAUUGACGCUGAGGCGCGAAAGCUAGGGGAGCAAACGGGG
rnacentral:rRNA from 1 species